UGAAAAGGGGACGUUUCUUUUUUUUUGCUGAGUUUAUCUUUCGUACACACACUAAUGCACCUCACAAUACUAUAGAAUCAUGACUAGGAAUAGCCAUUAAUUAAUCCACACACACACACACCAUGAUUAGGAACCCUUUAGUGACCUCUGACCCUCCCUCAACAGCAUAUCCCAGGCUUUGGCACUAUUCGAGGCAUUCCAACCGACACGGAGCCUAACAACCGGGGCCGUGGGCGAGGCAGGGGUCGAGGAAAGCCUACGACUGGCAGCAGCUACAACCAAAGUAGGACGCUUCACUUGGACUGUCUAUCUCAGGAUCUAGACGGGCCUUAAGGUCUUUAAGAGCAUGUUCUCACAGAGAUGAGGUUGUCAGAAAAUCAUUCAAAUGUGGCUUAUUUUAGAUUAUUUAGUAAAUAAGUUAAUGAUUAGACAAUAAGCCUUUAGUCAGACUGUUCUAGAGAGCUUGUUAGGAAAUCGUCCAACUCUUUUGUGCUCCUUUGCGUUAAGGUAAUAAAUGUGUAUCUCUUUUCUUGUUAACAGCAAGCUACCGUUAUGGAAGCAGUGCUGGCUCUGGUUAUCACAAUCUGUACAGUAUGGGUGCAACAGAGGCUGCUUCCACAACAACCAUCUCCACUGGUGACGCCUCCACAGAGGCAGAUGCCAGCGGCAACACCACCGGCUACGGCACCUUCUACCCGAAUCAUCCUACACCACACCGGCCAUAACCACCUCGGCCGCCAUGACCGCCCAAGCCCAGGUCGGUGCAUCUUCCCUGGGUGACUACCAGUCGGUGCCCCCUCCCCUGGACCAGCAGAGCCCCUAUAGUUAUGGCUACGGAGGGGAUAAGAAGAGUCUGCUGACUGCAGCUCAGUCUCAAGCCCAACAGACCCAGCAACAGGUGGACUACUCUAUGUACAGUACAGCCUACCCCAGCUCUGUCACCGGGGGCCAAAUGUACAGUUACGGUGAGUGGGGAUUCGGCUACGGCAACCAAUCGAGCUUCAGCAUGUAUGGGAACGCCUCCUCCCAGGGCUAUGGGGCGGCUGCUACUCCCCAGACCCAACAGACCUCCUACCCCACGGCAUACGGAAACAUGAACUAUCAGUACAAAUAGAGGGUACCACACACACACACACACACCACAUCCCUCUCUCAAGCCCCCCACCAACCCUCUAAAGCCUUCCCCCAGAGGAAAAGAAUACCCUCGUGUCUUUCUCUACUUUCAUUAUAUUGAUCUAAUAUUGAUGAAUCCUAAACCCUCAAGUCAUUUUCACCAUCACUAUAUUUCAUAAACCAGACUAUCUAUUUCUUUAUUUACCAUGUGGUAAAUGUAACCUACAUGUGUCUAACAAGUAGUUCAGUUCUGUAUAGGGAUUACAAAAAGGAAAUAAUAAUAAUAGUGCUUUCAGGAUGAUGCUAUCUUGGGUCAUAGACUUCUUGUUUUGUUCAAGUUUCUUUCUUUUUACACUUUUUUUUUUUCUGUUGUCAAGCCACCCGAGGUUGAAUGUGAAUGUAAACGGAGAAUCUGUUCUUAUUUCAAAGACUUGUUUUCUUUACAUUUUUAUUUUCGAUUUCAAUUUGAAUCACUGUUAUGUUUUAACUGUUAUUAUAUUGACCAGCAGUGUGGUUAAAAAAAAAGUUGACAGUAACUUGGAUUUUUAUGUGAAAGAGCAAUGGAAAUGUGUUAAUUGCUGUUUCAUUGGAAGGUUUCGGUAAAAGGCUUGUAUCUGGUUGUUUGUAAGAAUAAAUUACUUUUAUUUUGGA
ensembl:lncRNA